rnacentral:lncRNA from 1 species
UACUAUGUGUAUGAGAUGGAGGAGGAAUACACAUCUAUUGGCUCAUGAUUAAUAUGUUCUUAAGGUCCCAAGGCUCCCUGCUCUUCAGAGACUCUCUCAGAGCUUAACUUUUCUCCCACUACUUCAUUUUGGUUAAACAGUUUUUCAAGAAGGUAGCAUUGAGUCACAAUCACAUUGUAAUCCCAUCAGAAAGUAAUAUCCC